UGAAAAUAGUAUUGUAAUCAUCCAAGUUAGUUAAGUAAACGAGAAAUAUAUUAUUAUAGGUUUAGUAUAUGUAGAUAUCACAAUGAUUCACAGUUUGUUUAUCAUCAACGCUUCAAUGUGAGUAGAUUUGAGAUAUAUGAUGGAUAUAUAUGGGUUAAUGUUUUUUAUAGAUCAAAUUUCCUCUCUAGGCCUUCUUGGUUUGUUAGUUUACACCAAUCAUUUAUGCAGUUGAGGAACUUGUGUUUGAUUGCUGUGGAUGGCAGACGUUUAUGGCUGUUCAAAAGACAUCAGGCCAUGGAAAAAUAAUAAGUUUUAUUAUCGACUGAAGAAAGUAACUGGGGACAAGCCCAUUCUCCUAAAAACAUUCCUCUGUUGUGAAAAAAUGCUUUGGAAAAAUUCGCACCCUUGCUGGCCAGAGUUGGCCAAAGAUCAUAUUUUCACCUAAAGUUUGCACUAAUAUUGAGCUGUACAAUUUUCUGGGAGAGGUCUCACUGGUCUGUUUGCAACAUUGAAGGCUUCCCACGUGUACGCAAGCGUACCAAUUUUUGUUAAUGCAUUUUGUCAAAUUCACAGAAUGUCCGAAGUUUUUUCAUGAGCAAGGUUGCAAGGUCAACAAAAUGGUGACAGAAACGAUAAAGUCACGAGCUGCAGAAGAAGGCAUUCGUGCUGUCAGACGGAAGCAAAAACGGUGAAGAAGUGGAGGUUGUUGAAACUUUUCAAGAACGUUACGAAUCUAAAGGUGAAGGAGCGGAAUAUUACCCCGACUAUGAAAGUAAGUUAUACUAUCAAAUUUUUGUAUAAGGCACUUAUAAAUUGUAUCUUCCAUACGUAGUGAUAUACUUUCUAACAUUCAACAUAUACUCCUUGAUUAUGCUUUUCCUUGUUAUCUCGUCAUCUCAGGAUAUUUUACUUCUCCUUGCGCCCCAUAUUUUUAAGCAUUUUCGAUUCAAAAUCCCUUCAUGAGAUUGUUCGUGUAAGAUAAUAAUAAUAUCCAUAAUAACUAUAAAAAUAGCUUAACAAGCAUUUGUGCAAACUGAACGAUUUUCCAAAGCUAUAGUUUACAAAGUUUAGGUGUUGAACAACACAAAAUAAGUCAGUUUUAAGUUAAUGUCGUCGUCACAAAAGAGCUUUUGACAAUUCAGAUCAACCUUCGGCAUACAAGUUUCAGGCACCGCCGGGGAUCAAUAAUUAGGGGGGGAUCAUAUUCAAUAAUAACCAAAAUAAUUUUGAUACACUUGGCGAAGCAAAAAAAGUCAAAACAUGAUAAGCCUUUUGGAUUUUUAUGUCUUCCGAGAGGUAGCGGUUUUUUCCAACCGAAUUUCUAUGCGCGCUUUGUGUUUGGUGAACUCUCUUAUUGACGAUUGCUUCAUACAAAGGAAGGAUUUUGGUUUUCAAUGAAUGCCGCCGAUUCCUUCAAAAGGCUUGCAACUUCAUUGACUGAUGUUAUAGGGCGAGCCAUUCGUGAAACUAUUACGAACUCUGCCGAGGUAAGCAGUACAUUUGUCUAUGGCAAUUAAAUCAAACUAUAUGUAACUCUGUGUAUAAAGUAUCAGGUAUUGCUUGUUGAUUUCCUACAAUUUCCAUAAUGGCGAUAAUGGAAAAAUACCUAUUCAAAUGUGCUGCUUACCUUGGCAGAGUUCGUAAUAGUUUCACGAACGGCUGGCCCUAUAACAUCAGAGAAAUAUUUAUAUAAUUAUUCUUUUACCGAAUUAAAUAUUCUCCAUUGUAAGAAUGAAAAUCCAUAAUUAUGUUAUGCUUGAAAUAUGGAGUAGAUCUGAAACAAUUGAACUUUUUGCAAAUACAUGUAUUCUUAACAAAAGUAGUUGUUGAGCAGAACAUUGUUUUGUGAAAAUCUUUGCUGUUAGUAAAACAGCAUUGGAGCUUUUUAUCUUUAUAUUUUUUACUACAUGUCUUAGGUCAUCUUACACAACGUUUUGAGAAUGCUUUUAGAUCCAUUCAAUUUCAGACAUCUCAUCGUUAUAGAAACAAUCUUCACUUGGCAUAAAGUCUUUUAGUUGUUUAUCUCUUUGAAGACUUCUCAUAUUCUUUGUUUCGUAUGGUCAUGCAAUAUCCUUAUAUAUGUUGAUAAGAAUUAUUUAUAAAUAAAAUAAUGGAACGGUGUAAUAAAGAAGAUAUUAUUUUUAUUGUA